UACGUAGGGACCGAGCGUUGUCCGGAAUCAUUGGGCGUAAAGAGCGUGUAGGCGGCCACUUAAGUCCUGCGUGAAAUCUUGCGGCUCAACCGCAAGCGGUCGUGGGAAACUGGGUGGCUAGAGUGCGGGAGAGGAGAGUGGAAUUCCUGGUGUAGCGGUGGAAUGCGCAGAUAUCAGGAAGAACACCCGUAGCGAAGGCGGCUCUCUGGAACGCAACUGACGCUGAGACGCGAAAGCGUGGGGAGCAAACAGG
rnacentral:rRNA from 1 species